rnacentral:rRNA from 1 species
UGGGGAAUAUUGCACAAUGGGCGCAAGCCUGAUGCAGCCAUGCCGCGUGUGUGAAGAAGGCCUUCGGGUUGUAAAGCACUUUCAGCGGGGAGGAAGGCGUUAAGGUUAAUAACCUUGGCGAUUGACGUUACCCGCAGAAGAAGCACCGGCUAACUCCGUGCCAGCAGCCGCGGUAAUACGGAGGGUGCAAGCGUUAAUCGGAAUUACUGGGCGUAAAGCGCACGCAGGCGGUCUGUCAAGUCGGAUGUGAAAUCCCCGGGCUCAACCUGGGAACUGCAUUCGAAAAUGGCAGGCUAGAGGCUUGUAGAGGGGGGUAGAAUUCCAGGUGUAGCGGUGAAAUGCGUAGAGAUCUGGAGGAAUACCGGUGGCGAAGGCGGCCCCCUGGACAAAGACUGACGCUCAGGUGCGAAAGCGUGGGGAGCAAACAGG